rnacentral:rRNA from 1 species
UACGUAGGGUGCAAGCGUUAAUCGGAAUUACUGGGCGUAAAGCGUGCGCAGGCGGUGAUGUAAGACAGAUGUGAAAUCCCCGGGCUCAACCUGGGAACUGCAUUUGUGACUGCAUAGCUAGAGUACGGUAGAGGGGGAUGGAAUUCCGCGUGUAGCAGUGAAAUGCGUAGAUAUGCGGAGGAACGCCGAUGGCGAAGGCAAUCCCCUGGACCUGUACUGACGCUCAUGCACGAAAGCGUGGGGAGCAAACAGG